GAUGAACGCUGGCGGCGUGCCUAAUACAUGCAAGUCGAGCGAACAGACGAGGAGCUUGCUCCUCUGACGUUAGCGGCGGACGGGUGAGUAACACGUGGAUAACCUACCUAUAAGACUGGGAUAACUUCGGGAAACCGGAGCUAAUACCGGAUAAUAUAUUGAACCGCAUGGUUCAAUAGUGAAAGACGGUUUUGCUGUCACUUAUAGAUGGAUCCGCGCCGCAUUAGCUAGUUGGUAAGGUAACGGCUUACCAAGGCAACGAUGCGUAGCCGACCUGAGAGGGUGAUCGGCCACACUGGAACUGGGACACGGUCCAGACUCCUACGGGAGGCAGCAGUAGGGAAUCUUCCGCAAUGGGCGAAAGCCUGACGGAGCAACGCCGCGUGAGUGAUGAAGGUCUUCGGAUCGUAAAACUCUGUUAUUAGGGAAGAACAAAUGUGUAAGUAACUAUGCCCGUCUUGACGGUACCUAAUCAGAAAGCCACGGCUAACUACGUG
rnacentral:rRNA from 1 species